UGGAGGUAGUGACAAUAAAUCACAAUGCGGAACUUCUGUUUUGCAAUUGGAUUGAGAACAACGCACAACACUUAUCGAUAAACAAUUGGAGGGCAAGUCUGGUGCCAGCAGCCGCGGUAAUUCCAGCUCCAAUAGCGUAUAUUAACGUUGUUGCAGUUAAAAAGCUCGUAGUUGAAGUGAAGUGUGGAAGUUUAGCAUUUUCGUUUGAAUUUGCUUCUCUUCUAUACUCUUUCCAAAUAGUUUGCAUGGGUAUUCAUUUAUCUGUGUAUUGCAUUUGGUCAUUUACUGUGAGAAAAUUAGAGUGUUCAAAGCAUACGUUUGUUUGAAUACAUUAGCAUGGAAUAAUUCGAAAAGGCUUUCAUGUUCGAUUUGAUUGGUUUGUUCGUGAAGGCAAGAUUAAAAGGGACAGUUGGGGGUAUUCAUAUUCAAUAGUCAGAGGUGAAAUUCUCGGAUUUAUGGAAGAUGAACAAGUGCGAAAGCAA
rnacentral:rRNA from 1 species